rnacentral:rRNA from 1 species
GAUGAACGCUAGCGGCAGGCCUAACACAUGCAAGUCGAGGGGCAUCAUGGCGUAGCAAUACGCUGAUGGCGACCGGCGCACGGGUGCGUAACGCGUAUGCAAUCUACCUUGUACAGGGGGAUAGCCCAGAGAAAUUUGGAUUAAUACCCCAUGGUAUAAUUAAUUUGCAUGAAUUGAUUAUUAAAGUUCCAACGGUACAAGAUGAGCAUGCGUCCCAUUAGCUAGUUGGUGUGGUAACGGCAUACCAAGGCGACGAUGGGUAGGGGUCCUGAGAGGGAGAUCCCCCACACUGGUACUGAGACACGGACCAGACUCCUACGGGAGGCAGCAGUGAGGAAUAUUGGUCAAUGGUCGGAAGACUGAACCAGCCAUGCCGCGUGCAGGAAGAAGCAUCUAUGGUGUGUAAACUGCUUUUGUACGGGAAGAAACACUCCUUCGUGAAGGAGCUUGACGGUACCGUAAGAAUAAGGAUCGGCUAACUCCGUGCC